UUAAUAGUCUAGCCUGCUCACUGAUAAAAAUUAUUAAAUAGCCGCGGUAUUUUGACCGUGCAAAGGUAGCAUAAUCAUUAGUUUUUUAAUUGAAAACUCGUAUGAAUGGUUGGACAAGAAAGAAGCUGUCUCUUGUGUUAUAAUUGAAUUUAACUUUUAAGUGAAAAGGCUUAAAUAUUCUAGAGGGACGAUAAGACCCUAUAAAGCUUUAUAAAUUUAAGGAUUUUGUAGAUUUUUAUAUAAAAAUAAAUUCCAAUAAAUUUAUUUGGUUGGGGCGACGAUGGUAUAAUGAAAAUAACUGCUAUUAAGAUGAACAAAUAUAUUUGUUUUAUUACAUAAUUGAUCCUUUAUAAAGAUUUUAAGAUCAAGUUACUUUAGGGAUAACAGCGUUAUUUUUUCUGAGAGUUCUUAUCAAAGAAAAAGUUUGCGACCUCGAUGUUGAAUUAAAAUGUCUUUAUAGUGCAGCAGCUAUGAAAGAAGGUCUGUUCGCCU
rnacentral:rRNA from 1 species